rnacentral:rRNA from 1 species
CUUGACGACCAUAGAGCAUUGGAACCACCUGAUCCCAUCCCGAACUCAGAAGUGAAACGAUGCAUCGCCGAUGGUA